GACGAACCGAGCGAACGUUGUUCGGAAUCACUGGGCUUAAAGGGCGCGUAGGCGGGUGCUCAAGUCCGGGGUGAAAUCCCACAGCUCAACUGUGGAACUGCCUCGGAUACUGGGUGCCUCGAGGGUGGUAGGGUAUGCGGAACUAUCGGUGGAGCGGUGAAAUGCGUUGAUAUCGAUAGGAACUCCGGUGGCGAAGGCGGCAUACUGGACCACAUCUGACGCUGAGGCGCGAAAGCCAGGGGAGCAAACGGG
rnacentral:rRNA from 1 species